rnacentral:rRNA from 1 species
GGCUGGAAAAACCGCCGUGCAACCCAAAGGUGUGACGCAUACCGAACUAAAGUAGGGAAAUGUGUGAGCCGGCUGCCGAGAAAAGCCGCUAUUGUUUGUACUGUACCCGUACCGUAAACCGACACAGGUGGAUGAGGAGAGAAUCCUAAGGCCGACAGAAGAAGCAUUGCUAAGGAACUCGGCAAAAUGACCCUGUAACUUCGGGAGAAAGGGUGCCUCGAAAGAGGCCGCAGAGAAUAGGCCCAAGCAACUGUUUAGCAAAAACACAGGUCUAUGCAAAACCGCAAGGUGAAGUAUAUGGGCUGACGCCUGCCCGGUGCUGGAAGGUUAAGGGGAGAUGUCAGGAGACGAAGCAUCGAACUUAAGCCCCAGUAAACGGCGGCCGUAACAAUAACGGUCCUAAGGUAGCGAAAUUCCUUGUCGGGUAAGUUCCGACCCGCACGAAAGGCGUAUGAUUUGGGCGCUGUCUCGGCAAUGCAUCCGGUGAAAUUGAAGUGCCAGUGAAGAUGCUGGCUACCCGCGCCAGGACGGAAAGACCCCAUGGAGCUUUACUCCAGCUUGAUACUGGGAUUCGGUAUUGUAUGUACAGGAUAGGUGGGAGGCUGAGAAAUGGUGACGCCAGUCGCCAUGGAGCCGCUGUGGGAUACCACCCUUGCAGUACUGGAUUUCUAACCAGCAGCCGUGAUCCGGCUGGGGGACAAUGUCAGGUGGGGAGUUUGACUGGGGCGGUCGCCUCCGAAAGGGUAUCGGAGGCGCUCAAAGGUUCCCUCAGAAUGGUCGGAAACCAUUCGAAGAGUGCAAAGGCAGAAGGGAGCUUGACUGCGACACCGACGGGUGGGGCAGGUACGAAAGUAGGACUUAGUGAUCCGGUGGUAUUAAGUGGGAAUGCCAUCGUUCAACGGAUAAAAGCUACCCUGGGAUAACAGGCUUAUCACUCCCAAGAGUUCACAUCGACGGAGUGGUUUGGCACCUCGAUGUCGGCUCAUCGCAUCCUGGGGCUGUAGUAGGUCCCAAGGGUUGGGCUGUUCGCCCAUUAAAGCGGUACGCGAGCUGGGUUCAGAACGUCGUGAGACAGUUCGGUCCCUAUCCGGCGUGGGCGUAGGAUAUUUGAGAGGAGCUGACCUUAGUACGAGAGGACCGGGUUGGACUGACCUCUGGUGCACCGGUUGUCAUGCCAACGGCACAGCCGGGUAGCCAAGUCGGGAAGGGAUAAACGCUGAAGGCAUCUAAGCGUGAAGCCCCCCUCAAGAUGAGAUAUCCCCCGCAUAAGCGGUAAGACCCCUUGAAGACGACGAGGUAGAUAGGGCAGAGGUGGAAGUGCAGUAAUGUAUGGAGCUGACUGCUACUAAUAGGUCGAAGGCUU